GGGCCCAUAGCUCAUCUGGUAGAGUGCUUCCAUGGCAUGGAAGAGGUGACCGGUUCGAGUCCGGUUGGGUCCA
rnacentral:tRNA from 1 species